UACGUAGGGUGCGAGCGUUGUCCGGAAUUAUUGGGCGUAAAGAGCUCGUAGGCGGUUUGUCACGUCGGAUGUGAAAUCCCGGGGCUUAACUCCGGGCCUGCAUUCGAUACGGGCUGACUAGAGUUCGGCAGGGGAGACUGGAAUUCCUGGUGUAGCGGUGAAAUGCGUAGAUAUCAGGAGGAACACCGGUGGCGAAGGCGCACACCUGGCCCGAUACUGACGCUGAGGCGCGAAAGCUAGGGGAGCAAACGGG
rnacentral:rRNA from 1 species